UUUAAAUACCAUUAAGAACUAUCCUUUGUUCUAAAGCCGGAACAGUUGCAAAAGCAAGCAAUUAAAACCAACACCAAAGCUGGUCUGGGACUCUGGGUUUUGGUUUUGGUUUUGGUUUUGGUUGCACAUAAAUAAAAAAAAUAAAAAUCACCCCAAAACUUUCACUGAUACCACUGUGUUCACAUGGCAAAGAUCACAGCCAUAACUACAAACAUGUUCCCUACAUUGGCCCUAUUAGCAACUCUACUCUUCCUCUCCCCAUCACCUUCAAAUGCUCAAUACAAACCACCUCUUUAUGUCUUCGGCGAUUCACUCUACGACGAUGGUAUGACUUUAUACAACGGCGUUAAAGGAGCUGGUGCCGAGUUUUGGCCUUACGGCGAAACUUACUUCAAAAAGCCUUCUGGCCGAUACUCCGAUGGCCGCCUUAUCCCCGAUUUCGUAGCUCAAUUCGCGGGGUUGCCAUUUUUGCAACCCUAUUUGUUACCGGGGAUAAAGGAUUUCACUAGAGGAAUCAAUUUCGCUUCAGCUGGUGCUUGUGUUCUUGUUGAACUUCGUCCUCAAACAAUAAAUUUGAAGAGGCAAGUAGAUUAUUUUGUCCAAAUGGUGCAAAAAUUGAAGCAACAAGUUGGGGAAGGAACAGCUAAUCAGCUGUUAUCUGAAGCUGUAUACUUGUUUAACAUAGCUGGAAAUGACUAUGUUAACCUUCUACAGAAGAAUGUUAAAAAACUUCCUGUCUCCAAUUUUAAAAGGAACCAACGGAUCAACAUGGUCAUUGGGAACCUCACUACCCAUAUUAAAACAAUCUAUGACCAAGGAGGAAGGAAAUUUGCAUUCCAAAACCUUGGUCCUCUUGGGUGCAUGCCAUCAAUGAAGUACAUGCUAAAUUUCAAAGGAACUUGCGCACCGGAGCCACAAGAGCUAGCCAAGUUGCACAAUGCUAAAUUUGCUGCACUAGCCAAGAGAUUACAAAGCCAACUACCAGGGUUCAAGUACUCCAUUUACGACUUCUACACAUCCUUAUACCUCCGUGUUAUAUAUGGAAGUAGCCGAUAUGGUUUCAGAGAAAGCCAAACAGCAUGUUGUGGAAGUGGAUCCUACAAUGGUGAUUUCACUUGCCAGAAGAAAGGCUAUACCUUCUCUGUUUGUAGUAAUCCUAGUGAAUAUUUGUGGUUUGACGCCGCGCACCCAACCGACAAGGCUAACCAGGCUUUCUCUAAAGAAUUCUGGAGUGGAGGAUCAAGCCUUGUAGCUCCUUACAAUUUGCAACAAUUAUUCGCCGCAAAAUGAUCGAUCAAAGUUUAUUUAUGAGGAUUUUUGGGAAAUCUAUAUAUACUCUUUACACUCAAUUGUGAUCAAAGAUAAAGGAGUGUUCGGGGCUAUAUUUAUUCUAUUGAUUAAUAUUAUUAAUUAAUUUCCGGUACAUCUUGUAUGAAUAUGAUGUAUUUAAAGGUUGAGGCCAAACCAGGCUAAGCUAGGUUGUAAUAAGCGAGGGGUGAUUGAAUACUUGUAAUCAGUAAUAAGUUAAAAAGAAAAUGCAAAUGUUAAUGAUA